GCUUCACUGCAUACUGUAAUUCAACUUGUCAUAUCGUGAAGAUUUCAACAUCUUGUGGAACCACUCCAUCACCAUCCAUUUCUCCUGAAACAACCACAUAUUCUAGUGCAUCAACAAUAGGCACAACACAACCUGUCACAUUAAUAUCCACAACUAAUACAAACACAGAAGUAACAACUACAACCUUUGGGCCUAAGUGUGAUGCUGUUGAUCCACCAAGACAGCCCAAUGAUACUUGGCAGAGUGGAUGUCAAAUGUGUGAGUGUGACAGUGAAACACUGAGGGUCCUUUGUCAGCCUGUUACUUGUCCUGUUUCACCAUCUGUUACUUGUGAUAAGCCUGGACAAGUACUUGUCAACACAACAAUUGACUGCUGUGAGAUCUAUGAAUGCAGUUGCGAUAAGAAUCUAUGCCCUAUUCCCACACUACAAUGUCCACUGGGUUUUAUACCGUCCAUCAGCGUAACUCCAGAUAACUGCUGUCCAGAGUAUGUUU